GACGAACGCUGGCGGCGUGCCUAAUACAUGCAAGUCGAACGCAGUGGGGACGGGUGAGUAACACGUGGGUAACCUCCCAUCAGAGGGGAUAACACUUGGAAACAGGUGCUAAACCGAUACUGAUGGAUGGACCCGCGGUGCAUUAGCUAGUUGGUGAGGUAACGGCUCACCAAGGCCACGAUGCAUAGCCGCCCUGAGGGGGUGUUCGGCAAAACGGGGACGGGGACCCGGCCCAGACGCCUAGGGAGGGCAGCAGAAGGGAAUCUUCGGCAAUGAACGAAAGUCUGACGGAGCAACGCCACGUGGGGGAAGAGGGUUUUCGGUUCGUAAAACUCUGUUGUUAGAGAAACGGUAUCUAACCAGAAAGCCACGGCUAACUACGUGCCAGCGGCCGGGGUAAUA
rnacentral:rRNA from 1 species